UGUUGGUCAGGCAGGUCUUGAACUCCUGACCUGGUGAUCCACCCGCGUGGGCCUCCCAAAGUGCUGGGAUUACAGGCGUCAGCACUGCACCCGGUCAACAAAGCUUUCUUUAUGACAACUAUUCUUUGAAGUCUGAAACAUGUCUUACGUGCAACCAUGUGGUGUAUUUUCUUUAAAAUUCCAUGUGUGCUGAGAAGAGUAUGGCUUUCUAAAUUAGAUCUGGGAUCCCAUGUAUGCUCUAGUCAAGCUCAUUACUAAUGUUAUUUAAGGGAUCUGUAUCCACAAAAGUAACGAUCAACCUGCCAUUGGGAAAUUCCCACAAUAUUGGUGAAUUUGAAGCUUCAAAUAAUUUUUGCUUUAUAUAUAUAAAACUCUCUGUUAUUUUUGUGGUGACCAAUUUAGAAUUGCUGUUCUUUCCCAAAUAAUUAUAUUUUUAUGUAUGCAAUGACUUUAGUAAUAGUUUUACCUUGUAAUCUACUUUAUCUGAUCUUUUAAAAUUUAAUGUUAUUUUCAUUUAUUGAUUAAAAUCCAUUUCUUUAGCUUAAAAUUUUAUAUCCAUGUUUUUCAAGCAAAAAGCAUAUGGAUAGAUUUUUGUAAUUCUAUCUAAAACUUUACUGAAUUAAGUUCAUUUGCAUUUCCUGUAACUACUAAUAUAUUUGAAUUUAUGUUAAUAUAUUGUUUUGUUCUUGCUAUUUAUUCUGCAUUUUCCAUUCUCUUUCCUUACUUCAUUCUAUUUCUUCCUUUUGGUAUUAAUCAUUCUUCUCAGUCUAGUGUUUUGGACAUCACACAUUACAUUUUAAUUAUUCUGAUUGUUAACAACAAAUCUUUUUUAUUUUAAUUUUUUAAUUUUUAUUUUUUUUUGAGACGGAGUCUUGCUCUCUCGCCCAGACUGG
rnacentral:lncRNA from 10 species